AUUAGCUAGUAGGUGGGGUAACGGCUCACCUAGGCGACGAUCCCUAGCUGGUCUGAGAGGAUGACCAGCCACACUGGAACUGAGACACGGUCCAGACUCCUACGGGAGGCAGCAGUGGGGAAUAUUGCACAAUGGGCGCAAGCCUGAUGCAGCCAUGCCGCGUGUGUGAAGAAGGCCUUCGGGUUGUAAAGCACUUUCAGCGGGGAGGAAGGCGGUGAGGUUAAUAACCUUGUCGAUUGACGUUACCCGCAGAAGAAGCACCGGCUAACUCCGUGCCAGCAGCCGCGGUAAUACGGAGGGUGCAAGCGUUAAUCGGAAUUACUGGGCGUAAAGCGCACGCAGGCGGUCUGUCAAGUCGGAUGUGAAAUCCCCGGGCUCAACCUGGGAACUGCAUUCGAAACUGGCAGGCUAGAGUCUUGUAGAGGGGAGGUAGAAUUCCAGGUGUAGCGGUGAAAUGCGUAGAGAUCUGGAGGAAUACCGGUGGCGAAGGCGGCCCCCUGGACAAAGACUGACGCUCAGGUGCGAAAGCGUGGGGAGCAAACAGGAUUAGAUACCCUGGUAGUCCACGCCGUAAACGAUGUCGAUUUGGAGGUUGUGCCCUUGAGGCGUGGCUUCCGGAGCUAACGCGUUAAAUCGACCGCCUGGGGAGUACGGCCGCAAGGUUAAAACUCAAAUGAAUUGACGGGGGCCCGCACAAGCGGUGGAGCAUGUGGUUUAAUUCGAUGCAACGCGAAGAACCUUACCUGGUCUUGACAUCCACAGAACUUUCCAGAGAUGGAUUGGUGCCUUCGGGAACUGUGAGACAGGUGCUGCAUGGCUGUCGUCAGCUCGUGUUGUGAAUGUUGGGGUUAAGUCCCGCAACGAGCGCAACCCUUAUCCUUUGUUGCCAGCGGUUCGGCCGGGAAUCCAAAGGAGACUGCCAGUGAUAAACUGGAGAAAAGUGGGGGUGAACUUAAGUCAUCAUGGCCCUUUACAACAGGGCUACACACGUGCUACAAUGCCAUAUACAAAGAGAAGCCACCUCGCGAGAGCAAGCGGACCUCAUAAAGUAUGUCGUAGUCCGGAUUGGAGUCUGCAACUCGACUCCAUGAAGUCGGAAUCGCUAGUAAUCGUAGAUCAGAAGCUACGGUGAAUACGUUCCCGGGCCUUGUACACACCCCUAUCACACCAUGGGAGUGGGUUGCAAAAGAAGUAGGUAGCUUAACCUUCGGGAGGGCGCUACCACUUGA
rnacentral:rRNA from 1 species